GAUGAACGCUGGCGGCGUGCUUAACACAUGCAAGUCGAACGGUGAAGCAGAGCUUGCUCUGUGGAACAGUGGCGAACGGGUGAGUAAUACGUGAGCACACUGCCCACGACUCUGGGAUAAGCGCUGGAAACGGCGUCCAAUACCGGAUAUGAGCUGCGCUCGCAUGGUCAGCAGUUGGAAAGAUUUUUCGGUCUGGGAUGGGCUCACGGCAUAUCAGCUUGUUGGUGAGGGAAUGGCUCACCAAGGCGUCGACGGUUAGCCGGCCUGAGAGGGUGACCGGCCACACUGGGACUGUGACACGGCCCAGACUCCUACGGGAGGCAGCAGUGGGGAAUAUUGCACAAUGGGCGAAAGCCUGAUGCAGCAACGCCGCGUGAGGGAUGACGGCCUUCGGGUUGUAAACCUCUUUUAGCAGGGAAGAAGCGAAAGUGACGGUACCUGCAGAAAAAGCGCCGGCUAACUACGUGCCAGCAGCCGCAGUAAUAC
rnacentral:rRNA from 1 species